rnacentral:rRNA from 1 species
UACAGAGGUCCCAAGCGUUGUUCGGAUUCACUGGGCGUAAAGGGUGCGUAGGCGGUCGGGUAAGUCUGAUGUGAAAUCUCACAGCUUAACUGUGAAACUGCAUUGGAUACUAUCCGGCUUGAGGAAUGGAGGGGAGACUGGAAUACUUGGUGUAGCAGUGAAAUGCGUAGAUAUCAAGUGGAACACCAGUGGCGAAGGCGAGUCUCUGGACAUUUCCUGACGCUGAGGCACAAAAGCCAGGGGAGCAAACGGG